rnacentral:lncRNA from 1 species
CAGGCAAUCCGCUCAUCUUGGCCUCCCAAAGUGCUAGGAUUACAGGAGUUAGCCACUGCUCCCGGCCAGCUGUAAGGUCUUGAGAAGACUGCUGGUGAAGGCUGGGAGGACUGAAAAUUGUCACUGGAGCCUGGAGAAAAGGUAACUCUAUUAAUGUAGUGGCAGAGAAUUUGCUAACAUUAUCACUUGUAGUAAUGUGGAAAAUAGAAAAUAUACCCAAGGAACCCACGGAUUUUAGUAAGAAAACUUCUAGGCAGAAUGCUUAAAGUGCCAUUUAAAAAUUUAAAAAAAAAAUUUUUUUUAAAGCUACACACAGUAAAAGGUGCAGGUAGAGAAAGAUGAGUCAAAAAAGAACUGUUCAGUUUUCAAACAAAAUUUGGAGACAAUAAAGAGCUAGAAUGUGUUGAGUAAAAACAAAACAAAACAAAACAAAAAUUGUUUUAACACUCCUAGGGGGUGGCUGUAAAAUACCUUUUAAUGACUGUAGAAAUAUUUAAGGAUGUACCUCAUAGAGUUUCCAAAAUAGACAAAAAGGCUUUUAAGAAUCCUAAGGGUAUUGUCCCACAGCACCCAACUCUGAGCCCAGACCAAAAAAGGGACUAUCUUGAAGAGAAUUGUAGGUAUGUGUUUCAUUUAACAGAAAGAAACCCAGUAAGAUUCAAAGGAUGCCCACAAAGAUUAUGAGAGAAGUGUAUUAGUGGACACAUAAUCAGCUUGGACAAAGCAGGCAGAGGUAAAGUGCAAAGAGUCCUUAGAGCCCCCAGACUUUUAUGGGUGAGACAUAAGCUGAGAAGAUUAUUCAGCUGAAAGUGCUAUUUCUUAUGGAAAGGGGACAACUCAGAAGGUGCAACAAGAGUCUGGAGGGUGGAUCCAAGAGCCGCAGAGAAUCAUUCCAGAGAGCAGGACUCGGCCCUCCAGCCAAGGAACUGGCAGCAUGUGGAUUUCAGACUUGCUAUGGUCUUUGGACCCAGAUUGGAACUAUACCAUUGGCUCUCCUGGGUUUCAAGCUUGCUUGCUGACUGCAGAUCUUGGGACUUCUCAGCCUCCAUAAUUAUGGAAUGAAGAAGCCUGAAUCUAUGCUGCAAACUCUGGUUUCCACAAGCCUCGUGAAAGAUGAAGAAAGAAGGCUAAGAAGGCUUCCUCCCAAUGGGAUGAUGCACAGAUGGAGUCCUGCUAUAUUGCCCAGGC